UUUCCAUGAAAAUUGUUUUUCCCGACCGCGAUUUAGCGCGAGCCAUUAUCUCGUAUUUCUCUGAAAGCUUUAAAAGGAACAAAAAAAUGGAAAGAGCAAGGCACAAGACGUCCAGAAGAAGGGAGUAAAAAGAAAAGAGACAGGUAGAAAGAGAGAUGAAAAGGGAGCUGGGUUAGAUUCUUAAAUGAGCAAAGAUAGGAGAAAAAGAAAGAGGAAAAGGAGAAAUUAAGUGAGAAUGAAGAAGGGAGGAAGAUAAAAGAAGCAAAAGACAGCAAAUAAAUCCGAGGGAGGCAGUUCUGUAGAAAAUUGAGGGAGGCUUAGGAAAAGUUGUUGAAAUUCUCCAAUAUGUAUGGUCAAGGCAGUUCUAAUCCCCAGUCUGGCAGCCAAGGUCCUCAAACACCAAUUGCCCCUCCAUACUUACACCGUCCACCUCCGCUCUCCCACAGUUUCCAACAAGGCCCUCUACCUCCACGACCUCCUCACACUAGUCAGCCAAGUUUGCCUGGAUAUCAGCAUGUUUCUAUGCCCCAACAUCUCGCAGUUCAGCAACUUGCACCUGGCAGGACGCCUAACCCGGGUCAGCCUUAUUUGCACUCUUCUGCAACCGUUCAUGGAAGUGCUCCCAUGUCACAUGUUUAUGCACCUGCGCAGCAAAAUUCACAGCAUUCUUCCUGUUUAGCAUCGGUGCCUUCUCCUCCCCCUCCCUUUGGUUCACACCAUCUUGAAAUCUCGCCGCCUUAUAGAGGUUUGCCUCCUCCACCACCUUCACAAGGUCAGGGGUUUUAUAAAUCUCCAGUUCAUUCGUUGCCAAAACAGCUAGCUGGUGUGCAGGGUCAUGUUCCCCCUUCACCUCCCCCACCUUUUCCUCCAACUUCCAGUUUCCUGACUCCUGCUCUCUCUGGGAGUUCUGCUGAGCCUCACGUUGGAAAUCCUCAAACGCUUUCCACAGAUCCUCCCCCACCCCCACCACCGCCGCCCCUACCACUAACCUCUUCUGCACCAUCCAUUCCACCUCUGCAUAACUCCCACAUGAUGCCAUUAUCUGCACCCAUGCUAGAUGGUUCCAUUCCACAAUUUUACUCUGAUUUUGCUUCCAAUUCCUCCAAACCUUCUUGUGAUAAAUUGGGCCCUACUAGUUCCGCCAAUGAAGUCAUUCCUCUCAAUCAAGGUGGACAUAAUGUUCUCAUGCAUGAUGACAACUUAUAUCUGGAAGGUGGAAGUGGUGCUGGGGUGUGUUUUAAAUUGGAAGGAAAGACUUUUUCUGAACCCAGUCAUUUGAUGGAUGCAGUUGGAUCCCACAUGUCUUCUGACUCUGAUAUGGAGAUGGAAGAUGACAUUACACAGUCUGACAAUGACCAGGCAGUAAAUUACCCUGUUGGAGGUCAAACUCAUGGUAAUCAUUUGAUAGCUGGAGCAUUUGAUGUAAGAGAGCAGUUGCAUGAACUGCAGAGUUCAGCACAAUCUGACGCUUCGGCAAUGGUUUUAUCUCUCUCUGGCUCCUCAAGGCUGAAUAAUGGUGAACAAGGCUCAAAACUCAUCAAUUGUUAUAACCAAUUGACAUCUGGGGAGUCAGUUUCUGAAGUUCAUAGCCCAGUCAUUAAUUCUGCAGGAGCUGAUGAAAAAAGUUCAUCAAGGAUCAUGUCAGCUGCUGGAUGCAUCUAUUCUGAUAAAUAUUCUGGUGAAGUUUUUAAAGGAAGCAGCCCAUUCAAACUUGUUCAAGAUUAUGCUUCUGAGGAUUGCUCAGAAAAUACUGAGGAGCCCUGUUUGAAAGAUGACAUUCCUCAAACUGCCUCAGACUUGGUUACUGUUGGCUCUGAAGAUCUGCAGCAGCAACAACCACCCUAUGGUUUGGAUUGCUCUGCUAUUGAUAACGUGUAUGGUCUAUCUGGAAAGGUGGGUUCUUCAUCUAGACUCCCACCAGAUAUUCUGGACUCAAAUCAGCCAUCUCACCCGCCAGAUUUUGGAGCAAAAAAUUCAGCUCACCUGAAUUCUUAUCCAACUAGUUUUGAGCAGCCGCUCAACUCCGGAUUCAGUUCUGAUGUUGUAAGGCAAGAAAAGGUUCCAUCCUGUUCUUGUAAGGAUGAUCAUUCUUCAUGUUUGAACCAUGCUUCACUUGAUGGACAAGGUGUCAGUGUUGGAACAAGACAUCCAAUACCUUCGCCCAGUUCUGCCAGGGGUGUUGCACAAAUUAUUCCUAGCUCAGGAGGUGAUCAAUAUGAUCCGUUUUUAGACAGCAUCGAGCCAACUUCAAACUCAUUUAAGAGACUUGAUCACAUUCAGAAGUGGGAAUCCAUUGACACUGAUGUUAUGCCAAGGUUUAGUGCCUCAAACAAAUCUUUGGAUGUGGAAGAAAACAAGAAAGAAGUUAGAGGCAUUGUGGUUUCCACAUCUCUUGAUAAUGAGGAGUUUGGUGAGAUUGCAGAUGCAGAAGUGGGUGAUAUUGAGAAUCAGAGCCAGAGUACUCCUGUUGUAGUGAAUGUGAAUAUGGGUGAUAUGGAGAUUGAUCAGAUUAAGUCUCCAAAGAAGAGCAAAAAGAGCAAGGAGUCCAGAUCAAUGAAGCUCUUUAAGGUUACCCUUGCAGAUUUUGUCAAGGACGUUUUAAAGCCAUCAUGGCGACAGGGUAACAUGAGUAAGGAAGCAUUUAAGACUAUUGUCAAGAAGACGGUUGAUAAGGUUGCAGGAGCAAUGAAGAGCCAUCAAAUACCCAAGUCCAAGGCAAAAAUAGAUCAUUACAUUGACUCAUCGCAACAUAAAUUAACAAAACUUGUGAUGAGAGAUCAUCGAGCAGUCCUUUUCAAGAAAUGGAGCAGAAGCAUUCUUCAGAGCAUGCAGUCAGCAAACCUCUCGCAUGUUCAUGUUCUCUGUUCUGUGAGUAGAAUCUUUCAGUAGAAUUGGAUUGUUAUAGUGAAUUGUGAGAUUGAUGACUUUAUUGAAUUACAAGAAUUGAGACUUAUUAAUAUAUUUUGAAUGCAUGAGAUGCUGCUGUUAUGUUUCUCUUUAUUCCUUCCCUAGAAUGGUGAUGCAUACAUGUUUUGAUGAGAAUUCUGGAACAUUUUAUUCUUGUAAAUCAUGUUAUAAAUGGGUAUUUCAAUCUUGAAUUGCAUUGUGACUGGUUGUAUGGUCUAUUUUCCUUUAUGUCUGAUAGUUAUCUGAUAUUGUGAUGGCUUCCUUAAUUUAGUUUCUAAUUCAUAAAGCGACCUUGAUUAUUUUUUCAAUAAAUGCUUCCUACUCAACCUUCGUUUUAUGAUUCUCACAUAAAUUGUAUUCUUGGUCGAGGAAAUAUCCUGAGAAUUGUGAUUGUGCUCGGCCUCAGCGAGAUGAAAUCAAGUUACACUGGAUUAUUAAUUACUGUAUGCUUUGACAAUGAAGUGGGAUUUCAUUUAGUGGAGCUCGUUACGCGAACCCCUUGUUCUUACAUCUUACACAGAGGGAAGAAAAAAGAAAACCCUUUGGAGCAAUGUGGGAGGGUGGCGAUUUUAGGAAGUUUUACAUUUGGCCUUUCUCUGUAAAUAUUUCAGUUAAGAGACCUGUUGGGCAUGCAUGUGACUUAUGAGAGAAAUGGCUGCCGGAUCUUAGGAUCUUGCAAAAAGUAAAAUGCAACUGUUGGCUUGCCGUACUGGACAUGGAAUCAGAAGCUUUUUAGUUUCAUAUGAUUACCCUUCCUUA